rnacentral:rRNA from 1 species
UGGGUGAGUAACGCGUGGGUAACCUGCCCUUAAGUCUGGGAUACCAUUUGGAAACAGAUGCUAAUACCGGAUAAAAGCUACUUUCGCAUGAAAGAAGUUUAAAAGGCGGCGUAAGCUGUCGCUAAAGGAUGGACCUGCGAUGCAUUAGCUAGUUGGUAAGGUAACGGCUUACCAAGGCGAUGAUGCAUAGCCGAGUUGAGAGACUGAUCGGCCACAUUGGGACUGAGACACGGCCCAAACUCCUACGGGAGGCAGCAGGU